rnacentral:rRNA from 1 species
CCCUUAGAUGUUCUGGGCCGCACGCGCGCUACACUGAUGCAUUCAACGAGUCUAAAACCUGCUCUGAUAGGGGUGGGUAAUCUUUUGAAUGUGCAUCGUGAUUGGGAUAGAUGAUUGCAAUUUUUCAUCUUCAACGAGGAAUGCCUAGUAAACGCAAGUCAUCAGCUUGCAUUGAUUACGUCCCUGCCCUUUGUACACGCCGCCCGUCGCUCCUACCGAUUGAAUGAUCCGAUGAAUAUUAUGGAUUGAGGAUGCAAGCAGGUUCGCCUGUCUUCAUCUUCGAGAAGUGAAGUAAAUCUUAUCAUUUAGAGGAAGGAGAGGUCGUAACA